rnacentral:rRNA from 1 species
AGCAGCCGCGGUAAUUCCAGCUCCAAUAGCGUAUAUUAAAGUUGUUGCAGUUAAAAAGCUCGUAGUUGAAUUUCGGGGUUCUUCCGUUGGUCGGGCUAUCCAGUCUGUACUAGCGUGUAGAAUUCCUACCUUCUGGGGAACCAUCAUGUUAUUAAUUUAGCGUGGUGGGAAACCAGGACCUUUACCUUGAAAAAAUUAGAGUGUUCAAAGCAGGCUUACGUCUGAAUACAUUAGCAUGGAAUAAUAGAAUAGGACGGUGGUCCUGUUUUGUUGGUUUCUGAAUCACCGUAAUGAUUAAUAGGGAUAGUUGGGGGCAUUAGUAUUCAAUUGUCAGAGGUGAAAAUUCUUGGAUUUAUUGAAGACUAACUUCUGCGAAAGCAUUUGCCAAGGAUGUUUUCAUUAAUCAAGAACGAAAGUUAGGGAUCGAAGACGAUCAGAUACCGUCGUAGUCUUAACCAUAAACUAUGCCGACUAGGGAUCGGACGAUGUUAAAUUUUAUUGACUCGUUCGGCGCCUUACG